rnacentral:lncRNA from 1 species
CUCAGCCCCCCGGGUUCCUCAGCCCCACAGGCCACCAGGUUCCUCAGCCCCAUGGGCCACCGGGUUCCUGAGCUCCAUGGGCCACCAGGUUCCUCAGCCCCACCAGCCACCAUGUUCCUCAGCUCCUCAGCCCCACGGGUUCCUCAGCUCCAUGGGCCACCAGGUUCCUCAGCCCCACAGGCCACCAGGUUCCUCAGCCCCACGGGUUCCACCGGGUUCCUCAGCUCCUCAGCCCCACGGGCCACCAGGUUCCUCAGCUCCAUGGGUUCACCCCCCCGGGUUCCUCAGCGCCCCAGGGUCCACCGGGUUCCUCAGCCCCACGGGUUCCACUGGGUUCCUCAGCCCCAGGGGCCACCGGGUUCCUCAGCUCCUCAGCCCCACGGGUUCCUCAGCUCCAUGGGGCACCAGGUUCCUCAGCCCCACGGGUUCCUCAGCCCCACGGGCCACCAGGUUCCUGAGCUCCAUGGGUUCCUCAGCCCCAUGGGCCACUGGGUUCCUCAGCCCCACGGGUUCCACCAGGUUCCUCAGCCCCACGGGUUCCACCGGGUUCCUCAGCCCCACGGGUUCCACCAGGUUCCUCAGCCCCACCAGCCACCGGGUUCCUCAGCUCCUCAGCCCCCUGCGGGUUCCUCAGCUCCUCAGCCCCAUGGGCCACCAGGUUCCUCAGCCCCACGGGCUCCACCUGGUUCCUGAGCCCCACAAGCCACUGGGUUCCUCAGCUCCACAGAUUCCACCGGGUUCCUCAGCCCCACGGGCCACCAGGUUCCUGAGCUCCACGGGUUCCUCAGCCCCACGGGCCACCAGGUUCCUGAGCUCCACGGGUUCCUCAGCCCCACGGGCCACCAGGUUCCUGAGCUCCACGGGUUCCUCAGCCCCACGGGCCACUGGGUUCCUCAGCCCCACGGGUUCCACCAGGUUCCUCAGCCCCACGGGUUCCACCAGGUUCCUCAGCCCCACAGGUUCCAUCGGGUUCCUCAGCCCCACGGGUUCCACAGCCCCACAGGCCACCAGGUUCCUCAGCCCCAUGGGCCACCGGGUUCCUGAGCUCCAUGGGCCACCAGGUUCCUCAGCCCCACCAGCCACCAUGUUCCUCAGCUCCUCAGCCCCACGGGUUCCUCAGCUCCAUGGGCCACCAGGUUCCUCAGCUCCAUGGGUCACCAUGUUCCUCAGCCCCACGGGCCACCAGGUUCCUCAGCUCCACGGGUUCCACCGGGUUCCUCAGCCCCAUGGGUUCCUCAGCUCCAUGAGCCACCAGGUUCCUCAGCUCCAUGGGUUCCACCAGGUUCUUCAGCCCCACGGGCCACCAGGUUCCUGA